AACCCCUUGAGAAUCACUUCUGAGGGAGUGUACAGACCACGGACUGUUCUCGUCUUAUUUUCUCCUGUAACUUGCAGAGGGAGUGUACAGACCACGUCUGUUCGCCUGACUAUUUAUUGUCUUCCCAGGACCUGGCAGAAGAGGGGAGACUUAUUCCAUAGUUCCGACUGUCUUAGAAGUCACUGUAGCACAAGCUGACCCUGACUCCACGGUGAUCCUCCUGCUUCAGCUUCAGCUGUGCUGGG